GUGACAAUAGACCUCUUGCACCGUGCGGAUAGCAGGAUUCUUGUAGUCCGACAACGCUGCAAUCCGCCAUCUUAAUAAAACCACACCCUUUUUUUACAUUGUGUCUUAUGGAAGUAUUUUUCUAAGUGCUUUUUCUCUUAGCUGGAUAAAAACUUCGACCAAAGAAAAAUAUAGGAAAAUACUACAUCAUUCAGGGCAUAUGGGAAUUGUUUACAUUUGUAGGAACCAAAUAUGUAUAAUUGUCAUGUGUGUGUGUGUGUCAAUUUUACACUGAAACACGAUACGGAAAACAAGUUAAUGUUGCGAAUUGGAGAUUUUGAAUUGGAGAUUUUGUUGCAUCUGCCAUUGCUGUGUGAUUGUGAAGACAAAAAUGUUCCAUAUGUCAUGUGUUUGUCCGUUCAAAGCAAGCACUUGGACGUGCUUGUGGAGUCUCCCGUUCUGUUAUUGCAGCUUGUUCUGUGACUGUACAUGAGGGAUCAUAACUGAAACCACAGAUUCAGUCUUUACAACAAGAAAUUGAAAAACUUCUCGUUUGAUCUCUCUUGAGGGACAAUGCUGUGAUUGAAAAUACAAUUGCCAUUUGGCUGUUCAUUGCCUAAAA